UAAAUUAAUUUAUAUAUUUUUAUUUAUGUUAUUUAAAUGAAUUAAAUAAAAUAAUAUUUAAAAUUAAUUAAAUUAUUUAGUAUUAUUAAAAAAAAUAUAAUAAUUUUAUAUUUAUAGUAUUGUAAAAGAAUAAUAUUAUUAUAAUAAAAUAAUUAUUAAAGUUAUUUACCUUUUGUAUCAGGGUUUAUUAAAUUUAAUUAAUAUAUUUUUAAUUUCUCGAAAUAAAUUGAUCUAUUUAUUUAUUAUAUUUAAUGUAAAAUUAUUAUUAUUAAUAAAUAAAUAGUAGUGAUAAGUCAUUCAUAAUUUAUAUAUCUAGUUAUUUUAUAAAUAAAUUUAAUUUAAUUAAUGUUAAUAAAUUUAUAUAUUUAAUUUUUAAUAUAUAAAUUAAUAUUAUUAAAAUUAUUAGGGAUAAACUUAAUAAUUAUUUUAAUAUUUUUUAAUAUUAUUAGUAAAAAAUUAUAAUAAAAAUAAUAAUUUUUAUUUAUAAAUAAUUUAUAAUAAUUAAUAAUAUUAAACAUAUGAUUUUAAUAAUUUAAUUUAAUUAAAUAUAAAAUUAUUAACUUUAAUUAAUUAAGUUAAUUAAUAAUGAUAAAAUUAGUAAAAAUAAAUUUAAUAUUAUUAUAUUAAAUUAAAGAUUAUUUUAAGGAAUUAGGCAAAAAAUUUUUAUUCACCUGUUUAUUAAAAACAUGGUUUAUUGAAUUUAAUUAUAUAAUAAUAAAUCAAUUCUGCUCAAUGAAUUUAUUUAAAUAGCUGCAGUAUUUUGACUGUACAAAGGUAGCAUAAUCAAUUGUCUUUUUAUUAAAGUCUAGAAUGAAAGAAAUAAUGAAAUAAAAACUGUCUCAGAAUAAAUAAAUUUUAAAUUUUAUUGUAAGUAAAAAUUCUUAUAUAUUUAUAAUAGACGAGAAGACCCUAUAGAAUUUUAUUAUUAAAUUAUUAUUUUUAUUUAUUAUUAAUAAAUUAAUUUAUUUUAAUAAUUAUAUUGGGGGGAUAAUAAAAUUUAAAUAAUUUUUAUAUUUUUAUCACUAAAAUAUUAGAAUUUUAUAACCAAUAAUAUUGAAUUUAAAUAAAUUACCUUAGGGAUAACAGCGUUAAAUUUUUAAAGAGUUCAUAUUGAUAAAAAUUUUUGCGACCUCGAUGUUGAAUUAAAUUUAAUUGUUAUUGUAGAUAAUAACAAAAUUUAGUCUGUUCGACUAUUAAAAUUUUACAUGAUUUGAGUUUAGAUCGGUGUGAGCCAGAUCGGUUUCUAUCUUUAUAUAAUAAUUAUAUUUUUGUACGAAAGGACUUAAUAUAAAUAAUAAUUAUUUAUUAUUGAAUAAAAUUAUUUUAU
rnacentral:rRNA from 1 species